GCCCAGCGGGUGGGCGAGCUCUGCUCUCGGGGAGGGCAGGGGACCAACUCUCCACUGUGGCUCAGCCCUGCCUGGGGCAUAUCAGCAAAGAGAGACAUGGAUGGCUCAAGGAACUGAUUAUUCCCAGGCAGAUCUCUGAGGCUGCACUGCCCAUUUCACAGGCUCUACAUUGCUGCUUUCUGCAGCUGGCACUGCUCUCACUACUCCAGCCUGUAACAUUUUGCACAGGGGCAGAGCACAGAGCCCUCUCCUCGGUGGGAGGCCAGCUGAGCCAUGUCAAACCUUUUUGUCAAUAUUAUUCUGAGACACAAAAUUACAAGACCUGAUGCAUGGAGUGCUGUGGGAUUUUACAUUCAGAAAACAACCCUCAAAACAUCCAUGAAUAUGAGAAAACGAACAGUACUUUUUUGUGGUGAAUCUGUAUGAGAGCUACACACAGACUCAUCUAUCACAGUUCUGUAGCAACAGAAGUAAUUACUGCAGACUUUUAACCAGCAAAUCCCUAGAAGUGCUUUAGAGCGAGGGUGAAGGAGGAAACAGAUUUCAAAGCACAUGAAAAGUAUUUCCUGUGUGAGGAUUUUAAAGGGAAAGCAGCUGUAAGAAUGAAGAUUUUCAGGAAGAAGAUCAGAUCUGUUAAAAUACUCAGAUGCUCUUCUGUGUCCAUCCCAGAGCAGCACUUUACAACACACACGCAAACCAGACCAGAGUUCAUCCAUCUCCUUUCACUCUUGGCUGUUCUUUCAGAGGAGGAGAAUACAGCUGUAGAGGAACAGUUUAAAGCUUGAGCUCUUGAUACAUAUGAGGAUAAUAUGUCUUCAUUUUAAAAAUACAGAUGGAUUAUUUCCACAGAUGAUUUGCAGAUGUAACAUUCAGCUAUUUAAAGACUAGAGGCUUUUUCAAUGCUUUUGGAAGAGAAAAUCUUGUUUGUGGCAGGACUUAAGCUGAAAUUGUAGAGCUGUUCCUUUAGUACCCAUAGCACCCAUCACAUUUUUGUUCUUUGUUUCAUUCAAGGGUUUCCCUUUUUUUGUCUUUGCCUUUUCUCUGUCUCACACUUGGCUCUUUUCUGCCCGUGUCCAUAGCAGCAUCCACUGGAGGACUGCAAUGAUGCUGAGAUGGCCUUCUGCCAGGGGAAGGACAGAAUCAGUGAGCAACAGGCAGUGCAGUUUGAGCCCGGAGAAAGGCAGAAGUAAAAACAUCCAGUUUCUUUUCAACUAUCUUCUUUGGGAGAGGGAGAGAUGGGAACAUCUUUAUUUUUGCCGCUUUUUAUAGGUCUUCUGCAGUUGGUGGAGACAUUAAAUGGAAUCCAAGUGUCACUAUUCCAUGCUAGAAAUUCAGGGGACAAUGGGAUGGAAAUGUUUAACCUACACCUGUCUUUAUCAGAUCUUCUCCACUAAGUAGAAAUUAGAUCUGCUCAGAGUCUGCAUGGAAAAGACUGGAUACUACAGAAUACACACCUUCUGUGCAGUAUGAAGAAGAGCUAUUGAAACAAAAGCACCGGAGUCAGCUACUGGCACAGUGAUACUGUAGCAAUAUCACAGCAUUUCUGCAUAGAGUCACCCAAAGAUUAUAAAAAGAACUGGCUCAUUUCCAUGGAAGCAAGACUAUGCACAAGGACUGCACAGUAGGGCAAGUCCCUGCUGCUCAUGCAGCAAGGUGUCUGCUGGAAUGCUCACUCCCAAGGAAUAGACCACUGGAGAACUUAUUGUUUGCUGCUGCAGCAGAUUUCUGCACUUACCAAGUAGUAAAACUGAAAUGGCACUGAUCUAUUCAUAACAUUAUCAUUUCCUGUAGAGAAAUCCCAUAACAUAGUUAUACUGUGUGGAUCACAGUAACUAGUUCGAUGAUACUUACAUAAAUGUCAGGAGAUAUUGGCUGU